UCUGUAAAAGCCUGGGAAAAAAUGAAUGGUUGACUUAUUUCUAGAAAACUCUUAAACGCUUUGUGAGCAGAGCAGUAGAAGCUAUGGACCUACUAUGUAUAUCCAACUAGGAAAAGACAUUAAUAUUUGAUUCUGUAGAAACCUUAUGCCCGAAAGGAUUUUAAGUAGCAGAACAAACUAUCAUUUUUGUGAUAGCACUGAGAGAUCUUCUGGGGAUCCUUAACUAUCUUGUAAUCUGCUACAUUGAUGAAAGGUUGGAGCCUGGUUUUGAGGACUGAAUCUCAUUAAGAUUCUACUGGUGGGAACACAGUAACUGUAAAUCAGUCAAAAUCCAAGAAGCAUCAGCCCUUUUGCAGGAAAAGAGAGCUGAAUCAGGAUUGAGACAGUGUGGGAGAUGGCCCAUAGAGCCUUAUCACCAUAUUGUUACAGCAUCUUGCAGACAAGAAAAGCUCUGGUCUGGGGACUAUGUUAAUAAAGACAAUGCUGAGAGAGAGAACUAUGUUUCUGAACAGUUUAAAUUGUUAAUUUUACCCUUUAUCCUGUUCUACCACCUAUAGAGUGAACUAUGAAAGUUCUGGUGCAACUGAAUUAGAUGAACAAUUGAAGAAUUAACUUUAAAAAGUUUUUUAGUUUUGAUGUAAUUUUAAGCCAAAAACACUGGUUGCGGUCUCUGUCUGAAAGAACGUGCAAAAUCUCCCAGUCUUUAUAUUGGCUAAGUUGAACAGGACAUGCAGAAUUCCUUCACAGAAUUUGUGUCUAAACCGAUAAAUCCUGCUUCGCUUUGUACAUGGCAUAAAAUGCCAAUAACCAAAGAAUUAAAAACUGCACUGUGGUGCACAAUCAUGCACUGGCAGAGGGGUCAACUAGACGACCUAAAGCUGACCCUUUCCACUUCUAUUCUCCAAGAUUAGGUAAGUAUACUCAUGAGAGUAGUCUUUUUAUUAAAAUGCCAAUUGAUGAUGAGCUUGUUUGGAAAAAUGUAAAUUUUUGUAAAAGAGAGAAAUAA